rnacentral:lncRNA from 1 species
ACUUGGAAUUUCUGCAGAAGUCUGAGAGGAACUUCAUUAGUCAAGGUCCUUAGGAAAAUCGCAGUGUCUAUAAGGCUUUGGAUAUUGGGCGGCAGCUGCUCCGAAUCUUCCCCAAAGAAAUGCUGAAGAGAAUCCCUCAGAGCACCCUGAGUGAAUUUUACCCUCGAGACUCCGCAAAGCAUUAGUUGGUGCUGCUUCUGUGGCAUAACCCUCUUGUGAAAUAUUGGUUCUGUUUUCUUGAUUCCUUUUGCACUCCUCCAUCCCCACCUCAGUGUGGGAAUUUACCGUGUUACCCUGUAAUUAAAAGCAAAGAGUAGGUAACAUAUUGUGCCAGUGUUGCAAUGUCUAAACUGCUAACAGACUUGAAAAUAUCCUCACUCUGAAAACCUGAUCUUCAGGGCGUUAAGUAGCUGUGGGGAUGGAGGUAAAGUUUUCUUACGGAUGUAUGUAUUUGUACAUAAUAGUGCAGUCGGUUUCCUAAUAAUCAUUGUUUGGGUCUCCCAGACCUCACCUCUCAGCCCCCUCGAGAGUAUCACUGUCUGAAGCUAAGUGCUUUAGGGAUCGAAGGGCAAGACUGAAGAAGUCUCCUCUCACAGGAGCCAAGGGGCUCUUCGUUGAGCCUUCUCUUUUGGGUUGCUGGUGUGCCUGUGGUCUGCUCUGCUCUAAGCAGAUGGCUUUUACUCUCCACCCGCUCUUUCCAGUGUAAUAAAUCCUUAGCAGAAGGCGCUUCCUUUCCUCUUUCUCCCUGAUAGCUGGGGUUCCUGUGUCGAGUUGUUCUUGAGAACGGACACGCAGGCCCGUGCAGCUCGGUGGCAUUCAUUCCGUAGAGGGGGACACCUUGCCUCGGUGAUGCUCAGUGGGUCUCCAUGCAGAGGAGCUGUAGUCUCUGAUGGAAUCAUUGCUUUGUUUCCAAGGUGUCCACCAGAUGCUGAGGAAGGGUGAUCUUGUGGCACAAGUGAUAGCGUUUUGCUCCUCCUGGCGUGAGCCUCAGCUGUCUCCUGUGCAGUUCUGCCAAGUGUACGUCCAGCCUCCUCGUGUUCGGUGUUACUCGAGUGCAGUGGCAGCUUCCCUACUCUCUGCAUUCCAUCUUUCCGGGUGUGUAAACUUCUUCACCUUUCCCUCUGAGGGGCUGGGGUGGGGGGAAUCAGCAUGAUUAUAUUUUAAUGUAGAAAAUGUGACAUCUGGAUAUAAAAUGAAAAUAAAUGUUAAAUGUAACUUACCUAAAGUGACUCUGUACCCUCUAAUCGGAAAAGCAACAGCAGCAAGCCAGUGGAUGAUGUGUCUCUUCAGUUCACAGCUUUGACCAAAGCACCCGCUGCUGUGGACCAGGCCCUGUGUUGUAGGGAUCUGGCCCACGAUUUACACCCUUGUCUUGCCAACUGCCCUUCCCAGUUUUCAGGGAUAGCUCUCAACAGCACACUGUACUUUGAUCACCAGCUCGGAAUUCUCUUGGUGUCUCCACACAUGUUCAGCACCUCCAGAACCUCCUUGCUGUGAGUGGAGGGGAGUGAUAAAUAGAAAAUGAAGCACAUCUUGAAGCAAGCCUGAACUUGUUUCAAGUCGACUCUUAGAUGGUGUGCAGUACAAGAAAACCACCUCCCGGCCACAGCGUGGGCAGCAGCAUGGCGCCUCCCUCCCCUGGCUGUCCUCUUCGGGAGACGCAGUGGUGAAGCGAGAUCACAGCAGGAAGGAGGCAGCUGAGUGUGGCCCUGCUUAUGAAGGAUGAAGGGCAGGGCGGGUCUGCUCCUCUGCCUUGUAGGGCUGGUGUAAGACCUGGAGAUUUUGUUCGUAAAACUGCAG